UACGUAGGGUGCAAGCGUUGUCCGGAAUUAUUGGGCGUAAAGAGCUCGUAGGCGGUCUGUCGCGUCUGCUGUGAAAACUCAGGGCUUAACCCUGAGCUUGCAGUGGGUACGGGCAGACUAGAGUGCGGUAGGGGAGACUGGAAUUCCUGGUGUAGCGGUGGAAUGCGCAGAUAUCAGGAGGAACACCGGUGGCGAAAGCGCUUGUCUGGCCCAAUACUGACGCUGAUGCGCGAAAGCUAGGGGAGCAAACGGG
rnacentral:rRNA from 1 species